rnacentral:rRNA from 1 species
UACAGAGGGUGCGAGCGUUGUCCGGAAUCACUGGGCGUAAAGGGCGCGUAGGCGGCCUGAUAAGUAGGGGGGUGAAAUCUUGCGGCUCAACCGCAAGGCUGCCUUCUAAACUGUCAGGCUGGAGCACGGUAGAGGCAGAUGGAAUUCCCGGUGUAGCGGUGGAAUGCGUAGAGAUCGGGAAGAACACCAGUGGCGAAGGCGGUCUGCUGGGCCGUUGCUGACGCUGAGGCGCGACAGCGUGGGGGAGCAAACAGG